GCUAGAGUAUGAUAGAGGAAAGCAGAAUUUCUAGUGUAGAGGUGAAAUUCGUAGAUAUUAGAAAGAAUACCAAUUGCGAAGGCAGCUUUCUGGAUCAUUACUGACACUGAGGAACGAAAGCAUGGGUAGCGAAGAGGAUUAGAUACCCUCGUAGUCCAUGCCGUAAACGAUGUGUGUUAGACGUUGGAAAUUUAUUUUCAGUGUCGCAGCGAAAGCGAUAAACACACCGCCUGGGGAGUACGACCGCAAGGUUAAAACUCAAAUGAAUUGACGGGGACCCGCACAAGUAGUGGAGCAUGUGGUUUAAUUCGAAGAUACGCGCAGAACCUUACCAACACUUGACAUGUUCGUCGCGACUCUAAGAGAUUAGAGUUUUCGGUUCGGCCGGACGAAACACAGGUGCUGCAUGGCUGUCGUCAGCUCGUGUCGUGAGAUGUUGGGUUAAGUCCCGCAACGAGCGCAACCCUCACUUUUAGUUGCCAUCAUUUAGUUGGGCACUCUGAAAGAACUGCCAGUGAUAAGCUGGAGGAAGGUGGGGAUGACGUCAAGUCCUCAUGGCCCUUACGUGUUGGGCUACACACGUGCUACAAUGGCAUCUACAACAGGAAGCAAAACGGCAACGUUAAGCAAAUCCCGAAAAGAUGCCUCAGUUCGGAUUGCACUCUGCAACUCGAGUGCAUGAAGCUGGAAUUACUAGUAAUCGUGGAUCAGCGUGCCACGGUGAAUGCGUUCCCGGGUCUUGUACACACCGCCCGUCACACCAUGGGAGUUGGUUCUACCUUAAGGCAAGGUUUUAAACCCUUGACCACGGUAUAGUCAGCGACUGGGGUGAAGUCGUAACAAGGUAACC
rnacentral:rRNA from 1 species